UGGUUACCUGAUUCACCUGACCAGCGGUGAUGGUCAGAGCUCUAAAAAGAAUGACAAAGCCGUUAUCCGUCAAGACAAAAUCCAGAAUGCUGCUAACAACAGAAAGAUGACUAAAAACAACUCCAAGGGCGAGACAUAGGGACUAACACCCUUCAGCAAGUCUCAGGUCGUUGAGAGAGCCAUGAGCCAGCUUGGCAGAAAGGGAUAUCAUCUGCUUGUCAGAAACUGUGAACACUUCGUAUCGUGGUGCUACUACGACUUUGAAAUAAGUGAUCAGGUGAUAGAAUGGACGGCGAAAGCGGCAGAAAUGAUCAUCAAGUGGUUCGAGGAAAGAAGAACUUGAAUCGGUCGAAAUCUUGAAAAAAGAGAAUUUACAGACUCCAAGUUACCAGUUGUGUAUAACAGACAACCAAAAUUCUACCUUACCAUUGUAUUUUAUGCUGUAUUUACAGGACAUCUGUAAUAAUUCUGCAGUGAAAUGUAAAUGUUGAACUUAAAUUGUACAUGAUACUUCUUUCAAGUGCUUAUCGAACAAGUGACCCUGUAUUUGUAACAUGGAAAUGGGAAAUAAAAGCCUUAAAAGAAAAAAAAGUACAUUCUAUCCUCCGAAUCCUCUGGACCAGUGAAGCUGAAACUUCACAUGCUUCUUCGCAGCAACUGUUCUACUAAAAUUUGUUUAAUGUGUUAAAAUUUUAUUUUGAUAGAAUUCUAUUUGGCCUUCACAGCAACUGUUUUUUGAAAAAUAUAUU